AGUACUAAACUGAAGCAGAACAGAAAAGCAUAUCCUUAAGUUUCAAUAUGUUUGCUAUCAUGUUUGAUCAACAGAUCAAACACCUAUCAAACAAGAAGAUCUCCAAAUGAAAGUUCAGACAUAGCGAGAAACUGAAGGACAACGAUAGAGUAUACCCUCAAGAAACAACACGUUUGCUAUCAAAAGGCUAUCGAACAAAGAGUCCUGCAAAUGAGACAUUCAGGCACAGGAAGACACUGAGAAACAGCAGAAUAACAUACCUCAUUAAAACGAUUGAUGAGCGUUUGAAUGGAACAGGAAAGGUUGGGAACAGGCCAGUUCGACUCUUCCUC